rnacentral:lncRNA from 1 species
GCAAGGCCACUUUCAUAAUUUUCAUACAUGUCACUCUUGAUUCAUUGCAUAUCCCGGUACACCGCCGGAGGCAUUCAUAUAGAGUCAUAUCUUGUUCUAGCUUUGAGUUGUAAAUCCAUAAAAGUGUGAUGACACUACAAAAAAAAGACACAUCCGUGACAUUUUGGGCCGAACGAAUUUUUUUCUGUCAUACAUAUGACACUUCUAUGACAAUAAUUGUGACAAAACCCGGUAUCAUCAUCGAUGUGGUGGGCUCCUACUUCUAUGACAAAAAAUCAUGACAGAAAAUGGUCUUUUCGUCCUGGGCGGGCCGGAGACGCAGCUGCAUGACAUUCUUUGGGCCGUCCAUGAUGGAAAAAAUCGUGGUAGAAGCGAGGGGGAGGAAAAUUUCGGGGAGUUGCCGAUUACGGUGGGAGGUCGGGGGCCGAGCGAUGCGCGUUUCUCUCGUACACGUGCGAGGCGUUGGCUCUAACUGAACCCGAGCGAGGCGUUGGGCUCUAACUGAACCCGAGCGAUUGCAGGCUACGCGUUACUGACCCCGAGCGAUCGAUCGAUGGCUGUUAACUGAACCCGAUGGAGUGAUUCCUUCGCUACUGCUGCUAACUAAAGCCGGUCGAUUAGAUGAACAGUGAGCGUUGUGGGGGGGUUGGAUGAACAGUGAGCGGUGGCGUUGCCUCUGGAUGAACAGGACCUCGUGGUGUGGAGGGCUGGAUGAACAGUAGACAGUGGAGGGGUGGAUGAACAGUAGACGGUGGAGGGGUGGUUGAACAGUAGCCGGUGGAGUAGCGCGCGGUGGAGGCUGGAUGAACAGGAGCCCGUGGAGGCUGGAGGAGGUCGACGGUAGCCCGUGGAGGCUGGAGGAGGUCGACGAUGGAGAUGAACAGUAUCCCAUGGAGUCCCGUUUUGCGGUACGCCACACCCCUCCCGGUCAACAGGACCCCCGUUUCGACCGUAGGAGGUCUGUUUCCUCCGUUUUGCGGUACGCCACACCCCUCNNNNNNNNNNNNNNNNNNNNNNNNNNNNNNNNNNNNNNNNNNNNNNNNNNNNNNNNNNNNNNNNNNNNNNNNNNNNNNNNNNNNNNNNNNNNNNNNNNNNNNNNNNNNNNNNNNNNNNNNNNNNNNNNNNNNNNNNNNNNNNNNNNNNNNNNNNNNNNNNNNNNNNNNNNNNNNNNNNNNNNNNNNNNNNNNNNNNNNNNNNNNNNNNNNNNNNNNNNNNNNNACCCCUGUUUCGACCGUAGGAGGUCUGUUUCCUCCGUUUUGCGGUACGCCACACCCCCUCCCGAUCAACAGGACCCCGUUUCGAUCGUAGGAGGUCCAUUUGCUCCAUUGUGCGGUACGCCACACCCCUCCCGAUCAAUAGGACCCCGUUCCAAACGUAGGAGGUCCGUUUCCUCCGUUGUGCGGUAUGCCAGGCCUCAUUUCCAUCGCCUGUUUCGUCCAAGCCCUCCCGAUGAACACGACCACGCAUUCCGUUCCGACCCAGCCGGUUGGCUCCCCAUGAACACGACGACGACGUUGUUUCUCCGUUCCAACCCAGCCAUGUACGUAUGCGCGAGUAGGCGUUCAAGACCCUGCCCGUACAUACGUACGUGGUCGUAUUUUCUUUCUUGCACCCUCGCCGCUGUACGUACGUGUACAUGCUACGUGUGCGCCUCUACUACGACACGUGCGUGCCUCUACUACGACACGUGCGCGCCACUACAACGACCAGUAUGUACGUACACGUUCCCGACCAGAAUGACAACCCUACGUACGCUUCGACCGGGUGUGUCCCGACUGUCAGGCCUUCCUUGCCUGCAAAGAUGUAGCUGGUGGGUCCCAGCAGUCAGGGGGGCGAAUCGUUUUUUUUUGCCCGAACGCACUUCCUUGCGUGCGAAGAUGUAGCUGGUGGGUCCCAGCAGUCAAGGGGAAACAUUUUUUCGCAAAAUACGAUGGCACGUUCGGUGGGUCCCCGUUGUUAGGUGGAGGAAUAAUUAUUUUGCGCAUAAUAAGGAGGCACUUCCUUGCUGUGGCCGUGGACCCAGCUGUCAGCCUCUCCGCGUACAGUCCACAUCCGAUGGAAGCCAUUCCUUGACCAUGUUAACCAUGCCACGCAGAGAGCACCAGGGCGGUGGACAACGGCGAGGCCUAGGAAGGGGAUGACGUGGAGCCGGGGAAGACGCAGCAGUGGAUGCCCACGCGUAGAGGAGUACGAGGGUUCACUGGUUCGCUGUGGUGUGAGGCUGCCGUCGCCGCAGAAUAACAGGGGGUGUGGGUGAGUAGAGGGCUGGCCUGGCCAGCGGUGGGAGUAGUAGGGGCGGUGAGGCCUCCGCUGCAUCGCACCCGACCACGGGAGGCAGGAGCACGAGGCACGACCGGCACUGGCUUGGGCGGCUGGAGCAAGAAGACCAGAGGUUUAAGAAGCACUACAGCCGUUGGAUGGACAUCGUACGGUCACUAGAGCUAGAAUCGUGCAUAUUGACUAAGUUGACGAAGCCCUCCGUCCCCGUCAACUUAGUAGGCCCACAAGUCAGCCUGCCACUAUACUUGGUCCCAGCUAAUAGGGGGAGUAUUCUUUUUUUCUUGCUUCCUUGCGUGCGAAGAUAUAGCUGGUGGGUCCAAGCUGUCAGCGGCGAUAACGUUUUUUUUUGCAAAAUAAAGAGGCCCUUUCGGUAGGUCCCUGAUGUCAGGUGGAGGAAUCAUUAUUAUGCGUGUAAUAAGGAGGCAUUUCCUUGCGUGCGACUGUGGACCCAGCUGUCGGCCUCUCCACGUACAGUCCACUUCAGAUGCAUGUCGGUCGUUGACCACGUUGACCAGGCCGCGCCGAGAGCACCAGGACGGUGGACGACGGCGAGGCCUAGGAAGGGAACGACACGGAGGCAAGGAAGACUCGGCAGUUGUUUCCCACGCGGAGGGGAGUACGACUGUACGAGGGUUUACUGGUUCGUCUGCCGUCGCCGGAGAAUAACAGCAGGUGUGGGUGAGUAGAGGGAUGGCUAGGCCAACGAUGGGAGUAUGGUGGGGCGGUGAGGCCUGCGCGGCAGCACAGCCGGCCGCAGGGAGGAGGGAGAAGGCAGUCCCGCCGACGCUUGUUUGAGCGGCUGGAGCAGGAAGAGCAGAGAUUGAAGAAGCACGACGGUCGUUCGAUGGACAUCCAACAGUCACCUUGUGCGUCAACAUUUUUUUAGGAAAGCCUCAAAUCUAUGGAAAACGGCAUGCAGCCCAUCUGCCAUUAUUUCUAAUAAUUUACAACCCAUUUGCUAAUUCUUAAGGGUUUUUUUGGAGCCCAUAUUCUUUUUGUUAUCAUUACAGCCCAUAUUGUGGCCACGGUUAAAAAAUUAUACGAAAUUUGCGGUUCGAACUGUUUUUAAUCCCGAAAUUUCGACUCACAUUCAAACUAAUUUUAAAAAUAAAUGUAUAUCAAUAUAAAAUCCAACAAAUUCUCCAUGCAUAAAAAUUAAUGUAAUUUAAAAUCUCAAAAUUAAAAAAAGAUAUUUGAAACUAAUUGUCGGUUUGAUGUGUUUUAAAAAUGUACAGCCCAUUUCUCAUUUCUGAUAGGCCAUUUUCUCGGCCAACCGAAUGAAGCUCUCCUCGUCUUGAAAGAUUUGCAGCCCAACAGGCCUGACAAAGCGACUUACUUGGAAAAUCACAAAAAAACUGGGCAGUGGCCUUGGACCCAGCUGUCAGCCUCUCCACGUAUAGUACUCUUCUGAUGGAAGUCGGUCGUUGACCACAUUGACCAUGCCGCGCUGAGAGCACCAUGGCGGUGGACAAUGGCAAGGCCUAGGAAGGGGACGAUGCAGAGCCGGGGAAGACGCGGCAGUGGAUGCCCAUGCGGAGAGGAGCACGAGGGUUCACUGGUUCGGCUGCGGUGUGAGGUUGUCGUCGCCGCAGAAUAACAGGGGGAGUGGGUGAGUGGAGGGAUGGCCUGGCCAGUGGUGGGAGUAGUAUGGGGACGGUGAGGCCCUCGCGGCAGCACAGCCGGCCACGGGAGGCAGGAGCAUGCGGCACGUCCGGCGCUGCUUUGGGCGGCUGGGGAAAGAAGACCAGAGGUUGAAGAAGCACUACGGCCGUUGGAUGGACAUUGUUGACCAUGCCGCGCCAAGAGCACCAGGGCGGUGGACGACGGUGAGGCCUAUGAAGGGAACGACACGGAUCCGGGGAAGACACGGCAGUGGCUGCCCACGCGGUGGAGAGUACGACGGUUGACUGGUUCGGCUGCCGUCGCUGGAAAAUAACAGGAGGUGUGGGUGAGUAGAGGGAUAGACAGGCCAGGGAUGCGAGUAUGAUGGGGCCGUGAGGCCUUCCCGGCAGCACUGCCGGGCUCGGGAGGCGGGAGCAGGCGGUUCCGAUGGCGCUGGUUUGGGCGGCUGGGGCAGGAAGAUCAGAGACUGAAGAAGCAUGAUUGCCGUUAGAUUGACAUCUAAUGGUCUGACGCUGGUAGAGUCGAUUGUUGACUAAGUUUCUUUUUUGCAAAACCUUGUGUACGCAUGAACUUGGUAGGCCCACAAGUCAGCCUCCAAAUCUGUGGCAGACAACAUAAAGCCCAUUUGCUUUUUUUUUAAUUUGCAACCCAUUUGCUAAUUCUUAAGUUAUUUAUUACAGCCCAUUUUCUGCCCAGGACCACGGUAAAGUUCAACCUUAUUUUGCAUAUUUUGGUGGAGUCCGAACUGUUGUAAUCCCGAAAUGAUAAACAUUUUUUAAGAGAUUAUUGAUUUGCCAAAAAAUCGUUUUGUUUUUGUGAGGAAAUAAGACGUGGGUGUAGCAUAUGUUGUGCUCGCUGUCGAUGGUUGGUAUGAACAAAUAAGUCAUGGGUGUAGCAUAUAUGGCUUCUGCACAGCAUCUCCAUCAUCAUUAUCAGUACAUCCUACGCAGGUGAGUUAGGAUGCACUUGAUCCCAGGAAGGUAUCUAUCCUUCAAACCAGAGGAGUGCUUCAAACUAACAACAGUACAUAAUAUCCAACAAAAGAGGGUCAUGCUACAGCAGCAGAAUACAUGGCUCAGUCUAGAUAUCAGCACGAAUCAAGUUGUGCAUAUUUGCUGUUGGCAUGAACCACAUCGCCGCAUGUCGGGUUUGCAAAAGCAAUCCAUUGCAUGGAAGCUUGAUGCCUUUCACACACUGAAGAUUACCUGGCAACAAGCUGUGUCGACGAAUCUCUGGAUAUGGUGAUUCAUGAAACCCAUGGUAUGAUGUGUAAACAUAGCCCCCCUCGUGAAUGGAAGUUGCAUAGCAGAGUAAUCAUCGCCGGUGAUAUGAUCGAUGAUUGGUUGGAUGAUCGGAUAAUUGAGCCCGAGGAACAAGGAGUGGUUGCCGAGGCUGUAAACCCGCCUCCAGUUGAAUACGCCUGGCCCAACGAAGCUGGGAUCUUUCUCGAACACGAAGCAGUCAUAGCCAUCAAUGUCACGAACGCCCCAUGCAUUGUACUACAUGUGGUUUGAUGUAAUGGUUUGGUCAAUUUGGUACGUGCGAAUGAGCAUCAAAUGACCGCUGUCAGCUGAACGAGCGAUAAACCACCACCCAUCGGCUGGUAUGAUUCCAGGUCCUAGAAUCAUGAAGGCCAGUGCAUUUGCGUCUGCUGCAACAAUUCAAAUUGGAGACCAAAAGGACAAAAAUAAACAAUCAUGUUCAGAGUAUGUGUGGAAUUAAGAUUAUUAUAACAGUGACACAUAUCAUAGACAGAGGAUUGCAAUGCCGUGGUCAUAAUCAUACCCCCAAGUUAAAAAAAAUAAGCCAAUGGCUUUCAUAUUCUAGCAACAUGUCAUGGUUCAAACAUCGUGUAACAAUGAGAGGAAAACAGCUAUGACAGCACCUACUCAUAUUCUACCAUAGCACUUACUACUACUGUUCUCAUAUCAACUCUAAGCAAUAACAUGCGUUGUUAUAAAAAUCUUUUAAACGAGAGUAACAUAUAGCAAUCAUGAUGUUAUGCUCAUAAUAUGUAUUCUAACAAUCAUUAGAUGCCAAUUGUUCUCAUAUCAACUCUAAUAAUAACAUGUGUGGUCAUAAAAAUCUAGGAAAUGAGAGGAACACAUAGCAAUGAUGUGGUUAUAGACAUGCUAUGCAUUCUAAAUUUGUAACAAAUGAACAGGCAGUCGUAUUCAUAAGGUAAAGAUGAGAUGAGAUAGAACAAUUACACGACGAUAGAUUCCACCAGUAUAGGCAGCCAAUCUGUGCGUCGACCGCGUAAACGAUGCCAUCAUGCACUAUAGCAUUAGACAGAAAUGUUGCCUCAACAGGAUUGAUGAUGAGCCAUAACCAUGUAUGGCGACCGGAUUCCAGAUAGACUAAUCCCAUGUUGAACAAGGCAAUGAGCUUGUAAUCCAUGUAGUCUUCUGAUGGUGUGGGCACUUCACAGAUUACAACUUUAUGCAAACAGAGGUCGAGCCAAAAGCUUGACGCGUCUCGUGCGUAGUAGGCAGGAUUGUCCAGCGGUCUGCGAGGCUUGAUGUCGGCGGUAUCCAACGAUGGAAGGGUGAUCUCUCGCUGGGUGUAGAUAUCCACGAGACGCCACGGACUACCGGUGUGGUGGAUGAGGAUGAUCCAGUUGGCCUUCAUGCCCGCCCAGUAGUGGUCGCGCAUGAAGUAUCAUGUCGAGGGGCACCACGGAAACCUCCGUAGGAUCGUCAAGUCGGUGCCUGGGCCACCUGCGAGGAUCGGGCAUCAGCAAGCAGGGUGUCUUGAAAAGAGCCGGCCAGUUGCAGACGAGUAGACGGUACAAAGACACCGAGCAUGCGGCCAGACGGACGGUGCUGAGUAGGUCCAUACGACUACAGAUCUGCUCCAAGAGAACAUCGGGGAGGGAAUUCCAAUCGCGGCUCUACAUGUCAGUCGGUUCUGCCAUUGGGGUUUUCGGUGCCUGCGAGCCAGCGGGAAAGUGGAUUCGGGCGGGCGAGCGAAGAAGCUUCUCCUCGUGUGGCCGAGCAGUGAGCGGGGGGAUAUGGUACGUGCAAGCUACCAAGGAAGAUGGCGCGGGCGGGCGAGCAGUGAGCGGGGGUAAAUGGUGUGCGGCCGACGAUGGGGAAGAGAGGAGGAAGAAGAAGAGAGGAGGAAGAAGAGUAGAAGACAGGGAAGAAAGUGCAUUAAAUCUCAAUUCUACUAGUACUACUACCAGGAUAUACCAACCUUCGGAGUGUAAAUAGUUACACCGAUGACAUGUGGGUCUACCACAAGAGGGCCCACAUGUCAGUUAAUGUCGGACAGAGGUGCGUAGGCGUAUUUGCGGAAGCGUGCUGUACUGGCAAACAUGAUGGCUGUAUUGGGUAAGGAUGAUUUAGUAACAACAACACGCUGGUUCAGCUUAUUAAUUACGUGUCCCAUCUGCUGCAGCGUGUAUUGUCACUUCACUGCGAAGACUAGUUGAAUAGUUCUCUCUGACCGAGAUGGGGAAUAAUGGAUCGCGAGGACUUCCUUUCUACAGUAUCCCUAUGCCUCUACGCUCACUUCACUCAUUUUGCUCCGUACCUAGUCACUUGUUGAAAUCUGUAGAAAGACAAAUACUCCGUAUUUGGGAACAGAGGGAGGCUUUUACUCCGUACUAUUUGGGAACUGAGGGAGUAUCACCAUAUGGAGGGAACAGAGGAAGCUUGAAAUAUGAACAUGUCAAUGGUAGGGAGUAAGCCCCAUGCAUGUAACAUGCAACACUCACACGUACACAUGGAUGCACGCAACACUCACGCACCCAUGCGGCACACAGCACACGACGCAACACAUACAGCUCACGCUCAAGUGCUCAACCUACACCCUACGUCCAUGAAAGACUGUACAUUUAGAGAUUUACACAUUGACCAGGGCAUAAUUAAUGCCCAAAAGUAGCAGACUUGUGUGUGCAUGCGACCAUUGAGAUAAGAAGAUUAAAUGAAGGCCGUUGCAUGAUGUAAUUAAGGAUAGACAUGUAGCCUAUACCUACCGCACAAGUUGGUGCAUUAGUCAAUCAAUAUCGAUUUAGAUUAAAGGCUAAAUGCAUUGGAAGUGUAGAUGUACAUUAUAUACCACACUCUUUGUUUUGUAGCCGAUGUACACUCUUUGUUGGAAGACCGAGGGAGGACACGUGCAUGCACUCACAUACACAGCCAGGGCAGUUCACGCGCAAGGGUUGGACUCGUGUCGCGCCUGCAUAAAGUUUUGUUUAACUGAUUUCUUUGCUCUGCCAACUGACAGGUGGGACCCAGAAACCAGGUGAAAAUUUAACCAGUCAACAAAGUGCCGCGUCGACUAUGUGGCCGGUUAGUAGGGUUCAAUACGGUGCUCUACAAUGAGCUAGUGAUCGUAUAAUUGCUGCAAAACUAUAUAUAGUGACCGUAAAGAGCGUAUUAUUACAUACGUUGACCGCCAGUGUAUUUUUCUCGUUUCAAAUUAAGCCAUAUUAAUCAGAAAGGACGCAGUAUGGACUACUACUACUAGUACUAGUACUCCUUUGAUGUGUCCCGUCAACUCGCUGAACGAGGAGAAGCUUGCUUACUACGCCUCUCCCUCACCCACGCGCGUGAUGGCUCGCAGGACGAGGAGAGGGUUUUGACUACAGCACCCUCUCCCUCUCCCACCCUCUCCCUCUCCCUCGCCCUCGCCCUAGCAGUGGACGUGCAGCAGUUCAAUCGGUGUCAGAUUGCCAGAAGCAUAUUGUACUGUAGUAUCAUCAUUGUUGGACCUUCCGAAGAGGCGAAGAGUCAAGUGCAAGGUUCACACGAGUACGAACUGUUGAACCUCCCGAAGAGGCAAAGAGUCAAGCGCAAGGUUUUAUAGGAGUUGUCGUCCUAGUAGGAGUGUACUACAACUAUAGCAAAUGAUGCUACUGUAUGAUGCCGCCACGUCACGUAUAUCCAAAGUUGUGCCACCUUUUUUUCUCAAAGAGCGUGUUGGAGCCCGUGCAACAACCACACAAGUUGCACGUACACAUAACACAUUUACUAGUAAUAAAUUCUAAAGGACAAAUGCCAGUAUGCCACACAAGUUCAUCUCCAAUUCAUGUGAUAAAUUUGUGCACGACUAGUCUACAUAUAUUCACAGUGCUACCGUUCACAAUUACCGUACUCCACUUACACGUUAUAGAUGGGCUACAUGCAUGUCCUCCUCCAGGUUCCAGUCCCAGGUGUUCUUCAUGGAUGGCACGAUCCAUAGCGGUGGGCAACAGGAAUCAUUGUCGCAGCUUUCUAGUCCGGUUCCACACAAUGGAGACUCAUCCAAGCUGAAGCGGCAUAAAUCAGGGAUAGCGUGUCCCAGCAUGUCGUUCAUCCGGCGGUGCGCAAUGAAGACACAACCAUGCUUCAUGAACGGCAGGCCUUCUGUGUCGUGCACGGAAGGUGGCAUCCGCUUCACAAUGGGGUAGCUAUCCCCGAUGAAAAGCGAGUACUCUCCAAGAGUGUUCCUCGGCACCCACGUAGCAUCACGGGGGUCGAACUCGGCGCCGUUCAUCUAGUACAUGCGGCAUCACAGAUCUGGACACAUGGUGACGUACAUAGUCAAGGUACAUGCAUAAUAAUGGUGUUCUCAAAUAUGGCGGUCAGUAAUACUGUGCAGCAAAUAGUACUACUCCGGUAUAGAGGAAGUAAAAUAACCGGCUUAUUAUAUAUAGCCACUCUUGGCUACAUGGAUGAGAUAGUAAGACAUGGAAAAACAUAAAUGGUGGCAGCUAGUGGGUUCAAGUCUUCAAGGGCCUAGCUAGCUAUACGCGUCCUCCAAGGUAAAAAGUACUCCUACUAGUACUACUACCUCCGUCCGGAUUUAUUGGUCCCCAUUGUGUUUCGUGCCAAAUUUUGACCAUAGAUUAAACUAACAAAAUGUUCACGCAUGUCACCAAACAUUAUAUUUUUGAAAACUAUGUUCAAAUACGAAUCCAAUGAGAUAAUUUUUCUUGACAUGCAUUAACAUUUUGUUAGUUAAAUAUUUAGUCAAAAUUUGACACAAACUACAAAGGGGACCUAUAAACCAGGAUGGAGGUAGUACUAAGUAUACUACUAGUACAACAAUGAAAGAGAAGGAGAGAGGGUUAAAAAAAUGGAAUAUCUGGGUAGAUGGUGAAGGUCCGAUCGUGGUAGAUUGUGUGACCAUGUUGCACAUCAGUGGUACCAUGGGUAACGACUGCUAAGAUAGUUGAUCCCAAUAUGCCAAAGUCAGCUACAAGGUUCCAGGUUAGACCGAAUCGCGGAUGCAAAUGCACAUCCAGGAUCGGCGAUCUUAUUUUGAUCGGGGGAUGACUGGUCCCUGCAAAAUAAUGGGUACCAUUAGGGAUGCAAAUGAUGGUUUGUGCAUUUCGUUUGUAAUCUCCUGUACCGUAGGAUGGCAACCAGAUGAAACAAGUCCUCUCGCUUGUCACCAUGAAGAUGCGGCCUAGAUGGCGCAUGGCGUCUUCGAACGUGUAGGGGUACAAAUCUGCCGUCGCCAAAAUGCGCCAGCCUCUGCCGUUACUGCGUCUUGCAUUGAUGGCAAUCCUUAUGUCGAACACCGCGAUGAGAUAGUAAUCGUCGUAGCCGCGUCGCUUUGUAGGCAGGUCCUCAAUUGCUAUCUUCUUCAAUCUCAUGUAGGCAUCAUCAUACGUAUUCAAGCCCAGCCAGUCCGGAAGGCCAAUCCCAAUGGUGGAGAAGGGGUCUACCGGAACGGCUGCACUGCUGUGGAUGUUGUGCAAAAUAAUGGUGGUAUCCGGCCAGAGGUAUGCAAGCCAAUCUUCAUUGGUACCAACCCAGACCUAUAUAUAAGACGGUGAGCAGCAGAGAAAUUACGGGAUGGAAAUGGAAUAACUAAGUACUACAUGAUCAAACUCCAUUACUGACCUGCUCAUCGGACAAAAUCCGACUACCUCUCAACGUCGGCAACUCUAGCGGAGUCAACGUGUAACAAUGGCCAGGGAGCUAUGGACUGUUCGAAGGAUUGUCCCAUAGAAGAACCUUCUCCUCAAGGAUGCAUGGAAGACCAACAAGCAUGGACUUUUCCCAAGCCUGUUUAAGCAACGUCUUGUAAAAGUUGGUGCAGGAAGCACCGAGUCUUGCGGCGGUGAGGACGUCGGAGCGGCGAGCAAUUUCUCCCAGAGGAUCGUCGUCCAAGGUCUCCCAGCCCCGACAAGGAGUAGAACCGCCUGGCGAAUCCAUGGGAGCAGCAACGAACUGCCUUCUCUUCGGUGGGAGGGCAACUAGCGAGGAGGAGAUAAGAGUGUAGUAACCGCAGGGCCUCGUCCCUUCCAACUGUAGAUCAUUCCUCAGUGAAGGGGUGAGGCUAUUAUUUACUACUAGUACUAGCAUUAUGGAACGUUAUGGGACUGCAUUAUACUGUAAAUAAUAGCACUAGUAAGAAAUUUUUGGCACUAGGUAGUAGUUUUUGGCGUGGAUUAAGAAAUUUUGGGUAUAUUUUUGCCAUUUUUUGUACACGCCAACUAGUGCCAAAAAACGUCUUACAUUAUGUGACGGAGGAGUACGUACUCGUACUGUAGCAGUACCAAUACUACUUUUCUCAACUAGUAGUGCGAUGUACUGUACUUCUAGUCUAGUCUAGUAUAGUGCACCGGUUUUGAACUCUGGAAUCUCAGGGCCAAGGAGCUACAGUUGGAAGUGGAGGGUACUACUGUUCUCUAGAACCAUCGUUGUACUAUCAAUGCAGGGGAAGUACACCUGCGUAGUGGCCUAGUGGGUACUCUCGGUGCUAUAUUCAGCCGCUCCUCUCACGUAGGAGUAGCUGGCCUACUCAGCCGCUCCUCUCAUGCACACACUAGCAGCCUGUUUAUCAGCGACGGUUACUGCGGGGGCAGAACAUUUGAGUUAUUUGAUACAGCGAGACUAGGCUUUUCGCUUCCAUUUGUGGAGGUGUAAUGGAUCUCGUCGAACUUUGUUAGUAGUAGUUCCUUCUUUAUGAAUGAGAUGAAGCAAAGCUUUUGCCUCCGUUUAAAAAAACACGUCAAGAGGAAUUUCUUUUAUAGUAGAGUCGAUAAUGGAGUGAAGUCCAUGCGUGCAAUGCCACAAGCUACAGAGUAGUAGUAGAGCACUUUACGUACAGAGCCAUAUUGCACAGUUCCCAAUGCCCCGCCAGGCUUUUCCGGCUCCUCGGGCUUAAUUGGGAGGCGCUAGUUUAAAUAUGCUACUAGCUGAUGAGGAAGCUGCAAGCGAGGUGCGGCUAGGGCGAGCACGCGAGCCACGGGAUGCUGGGAAGGAAAACCCGUUCACGUGGCUAGGCUGUCCAGUGCACCAGAUUGUGGGGCCGCAUGUCCGUUCGACUUCAAAACUCAAACUACCCGUGUAAAAUAUGGCUCGCAACAAAGUGUAGUAGUACAAUUUUUUUAAAGGCUGCCAUGCGUUUGGCCGGGAUCGAACCCACAAAACGAGGUAUACACUCCCGCGACCACUAGUAGUACUCGUUGGAGUACAACGCAACCUAGAAUCGCCUUUUGUCGCUAGUAGUAUGUACAUAGUUCCUUACAAGAAACCCCUAAUAAUGCAAGAAACACUAAAAUGCCAAGAAACUACUACCACUUGCAUACGUGGCAGACUUAAGAUAAGACUACCUUAUCAACCAUUGUACAUGCUCUUACCAACAAAAAUCCUCGAGUGACCUCCUACCUCUGGCCCGUCCACCUAGUCAUCCUCGGCCAUGGGACGCAGCUACCGGCGCCGGCAGAAGGCGAGGUCAAAACCGCCGGCGGUGCGGAGCCCAUGUUGCGGCAGCCCAGAUGCCAGCUCCGUCCGGCACUCGCGGCCGCUAGCUAGCCAAGAUAGCUCCGUCCAGCUGCUUGUCUGCAAGGUUUGCUAGCUAGAUUGGCACGGCAGCGUGGCGGCUUGCUCGCGCGCGCCGCGCUCAGGCUAGCCAUCUGGCUCGAGCGAAGGCCAGCGCGGCGGCUUGCUCGCUUGUGAGUCACGCUCGGGCCAGCCUGCCAACCCGUGCGGAGGCCGGCGUGGCGUCCGGCCCGUCCGGCGGAGCGGCGGCCAACUCGCUCAUCACCGGCGCCACCGACGAACACGCAUCAGUACUGUUUGAAGUAAUGUUCAGGAAAAAUAAUGAUUUGAGGGGGAAUAACAGGAUAGAAGGUCAGAUGUGGGUCCCUCGUGUCAACGGUCAAACAAAAUGUGUUUGUUUAAGCUGCCUCAUCAGCAAGGACGUGUGGGCCAACCCUGUCAUAAAUGGGUUUAAACGAACCUAAUCGGUAGGAGUACUAGGUAGUAGUUUUUGGCGUGGAUUAAGAAAUUUUGGGUAUGUUUUUGCUAUUUUUUGUACAAUAGAUUCUUCCUAGUGCUAGUUGAAAGUGGUAGUUUUUUGUUAAAUACUCUACAUAUUGUAAGUAGGAGUCAAAGUUAAGCUUUGGAAGCCAAUAAGCAAGGCUAGUUACAUAGUGCGUAUGUGUACAUGAUUGAAAGUAAAUAUCAACCAUGAGUGACUAAUAUCUUGAUGGAAAACUCGAAACUAUGGGAUACUUGGAAAAAAAUGCAUGGUUGGAAAUACUAGCAAUGUUCAUGUUCGUUGCAACGAAUCAUAAUUAGAAUAAUACUUAUUCACAAACUUGGUACAAAACACUCUAAUUUUGAUAUACAUAUGUUUCAAAUAGAUUAUAUUCCUUGGGCUGCUUUGGUGAGGUCAGGGAGGGAUGUGGUUGGUUUUAAGAUACUAAUUAUGGGUUUUUCUGCAAAUUGGUAGACAAGUGGGAUGUUGGUGAGAAAAGGCAACAACUUACCUCACAAUCAUUAGAUGUAGAUCUAAUGGUCAGAAACGACUGAUGGUAGACACACCAGCAUCACCAACUUAGUCUUAUGUAGGAGUACUAGCAAGAUCCGUGCAUUGCACGGAACAUCAAGAUGCAUUUUUUUAUAUAACACUUGUUGUGAUUGACCCUUGCGGGAGUAAUCCCAUGUGUAAAAACUAAUGAUAUUUCGAGAAAUAUGAGAUAAGGUGAAGAGGAAUGGGGUGUGGUGGUGGUUGGUGGUCGGACUAAGCGGAGGCAUGGGGAUUGACGACGCCGGCAGCGGCCACUAGGCCAGUUUGUUCCAGAGGCCUCCUUUCUUAAUUGCUCAACAAUGAGGUUUGUUGGAGAUAGGGAUGAACGGGGGAAGGACUUGUCUGCAAAUGUGGAGAGGGGUGCGGGUAUCUUUUAGUUUAAUUUCCAUCCGUCAGAUAUAGAUCGAACGGUCUAUAUUGCAAGAUGGCACACGUACCAUCAUCACCACCUCGGUUUCUUAUAAGAGAAGAAAUAUAAGUAUGGAGAUACAAACGUAUUAUCAAUACCUGCUUCCGUAAACUAGCAUCUACAUUAUAUUCAACGCCUCGACAUGUGGGGCCUUAGCACAAUGACUUCUUGACUGUGUAAAACAAAGAUUUUCCCAUCGCCGACAAGGAGGGGGUGAUGACGGCGCGUUUUUUGGCUUGCUCUAGUCCUAGUAGUCAUACUAGGUGGUCUAAGCAUGUGUAGAUUUAUUCUUUUUCAUGUCUCGUGUUCGCCGUACUGCCACGACUGUUGAUGAAUAGACGGUAAGUUAUUCACGGGGAAACCCUUGAUGAGCGUGUUUGCGAGAGAGAGACAGACAGUGUGCAUGUGUGAUAUGUUAGAGACUGAGGCAAUGAUAACAGAUUCUUUGUGUCUAUGUGUGUGGAGGAUAGAGAGAGACAUGUACACGGGGCUUUGUGUUGUGUAACAUGGAGACACAUAUACAUAAUUAGAGAGUGAGUGUGUGAGAUACACAUGCGUACAUGGGGAGAGAUGAGGAUCCAGAUAAAUGGGUGUUUGUGCUAUUUGUGUGUGUUUGUGCACGCGUUUGUGUGUGAGAGGGAGAGAGUGUACAUGGAGUAGAGAGACCACUGAUGAUGUAAACCUAGUAUAAGGGAAGGGGGAAUGGUGUGACAUGUGUAGUAGCGGGAUAGCACGGGUGCGGGCUGGGGGAGCAGACUAUUUGGAAGAGACAUCGAGUGUGUGUGUGGGAGAGGGGUGUGAGAGCGAGAGAAAGAGAGAGCUAGCAACGGAGAGAGAGAGGGGGGAAGAGAGGGGGCAAGAGGGGUCGUUUGUGUCCAUAAAUGGCGUAUAUAUAGGGAGACAAUGUUGAUGUUGUCCGAAAUUGGCCUAUGAAUGGAGACGCAAGGGAAGCGAGUCAUCGUGUGUGUGAUAGGGACUUCAUGAGAGAUCUAGAAUAGAUGGUGUAGAGAACAAUGUGCGAAAUCGAGAACGAUUAUACAUUAGGGAGCUAUGUAAAGAGUCAUGACAUAUAUGUAUGCAGGGAAGGAGCUGGGGAGGGUCCGCAUGUGGGAGAGAUAGAAAGAGGAGAGUGGUGCACAAGGAGACAAAGUGUGCUUGUUUGCAGUGGGGGUGGUGUGUGAGGCGAGUGUGCGAGAACCACAUAACUAGGGAGAUACACGUUUGGGGGCGACUUUUGUGUGUAUGGGAAAUAUACACUCUACAUAGUGUGUUUGCUUGGGUAAGAGACAUAGCGGGAGACCUAGAGAGCGAGGGAAGAGAUGUGUGCAUGCCCGAGAGACAAAGUGACAGAGACCUAUGUUGGGGUCCGGACUUUACAAGAUAGAGGGGUGUUAAUGUGCUCGUGUGUUGGUGUUUGGGGGAGAGAACGACUUCUCUAUGUGUGUGUGUGUCUGGUGAUGGUGGUGGGGGGGGGGGUUGACUUCAAAUAAAGAGUGAGGUGUCUAUAUUUGAGGGACUUUAGCGUAAUUGAGAUAUUGUGCACUCAUGGUUGAUCCAUUUGUUUCACAGUUUGUACUAUGAGAUAAUGAUACUUUUGAACAUGCGUGAUAUACCUUGAUGUACCAGAAUUACAAACGUAAGAUUGGAAUUUUGGAAUUCUACUCCAUCAUUAGCUUUUGUAAUUCAUUUAAACAGAGGUACAUUUUUAAGCCGGGAUUUCGUGAUUUCAAAUUCAUAUAUCAAACCUAGAGAUAUACACAUACGGGCAUGUUCAAACUUUAUAAUCAUCCACUUUAUUCAUACACAUACACAUUUUUGCUUUUGUCAUCAUAUUUAGGAUAAACACAUUUGGAAUUUCAUUUGAAUUGGACCGUAUGACGGUAUAUGCUUGUAAUAGCUCAAUGAUCCAUAUUUGAAUUGAAUGGACAAUCUAAGUUUAGAGUUGGAGACAUUGAUUUUCAAAACUUGCACGUUUUUUUGCGUGCAAAACAAACAAAUUGUCGGCCAUGAUAUCAUAGUCGGCCGUACGAGAGUAGAAUACUUAUAAUUUUAGGCGCCAAAAGCUUUCAAACUUCCCGCUCACAUCGAAAUAUCACGCGCCCGAAAGUUUAGCCCUGCGAUAUUCCUGUUUUACCCCUGACACAUGAACGGAAAAGGGCUGCUUUGGUAACUCCAUUGUUUUCCCCUCUUUGCCCCCAACAUUCUUCCCCAGAGCCCCUCCCCUUCCCCUCCCCGACCCCCCCAACCACGGCAAGCCGCCGAAUCUAGUCCUCCGCCGCAGCGGUGGACCUCACACCCCGCCGGAUCUACCUUCCGCACCUUGGAACCCCCAACUGCUAAGUCACCACUUCACCGGAGCCGCUUCAGCGACUGGCUUGUCCAUCGCUCCAGAUCUCCUUGACCGCCAUCAUGGACCACCGCACCGGGUCUGCUUAACCGGCGCCCUCCACCAUAGCGUAAGCCCUUCACUGAAUCCCUUGUCCGCCCCUUCGUUGGCCCUUCAUACAAGCCCUCGUCCAACGCAACAGAUCCGCCUCAUUGAAAGCACUAUACAACGCGCCCAUCGAAGCCUUCGUCCACUGCACCGGCCCCGCUCCACGGACGCCAUAUUCAACUCCACCGGCCCUGCUUUACCGACGUCGCAGCCUCAUCGGGUUAUUUCGAUUUGUACUCCUUCGGUUUUUCUCUUUAUCGUGCAACUAUUCACUUACCACACAUGAGCUUUCUUGUAUGUCGACAUGCGCCGCAACCGUAGCACCGGAGCAGCUUCAGCGAUGGCAACAGCCGGCCCAAACUCAACCGCAACACGAGCACCAUCGACGAUCCUUAGCUAUCAAGUAUGACAACGAUACCCAUACGCCGCCGAGAAUCAGGUACUAUUAUCCAACGGCCGGUGCCUACGUUCACUUUCCUAGCAUAAGCACCGCACCUUUGAAUUUCUUAAGGGCAUCAUUCAGUUUUUCAUGAGACGUGUUAUUCUGCUUGCACCUGUAGGGCCAUACUUCUGGCAGUGAACAUGUUACAUGUGUUAAAUUACAUACCAGUGCACAUAUAGUCAAUAUGCUUUAGUUUUGUUCUGAUGCCACCUGUUGGUUCCAUCAGACUACUUAAUGUUCUCUAUGCUUAAUUACACAUCAGCAAACUAGCAUGUGGUUCCGCUGCUUUUUGUUCAUUUUACCCUACAUUUUCUGAUGCUAGCUAUUACAUCACUGCUCCGAGCCUCUGUUCAUUACUUGUUUGUGUGUUCUUGAUCUUCCCAAGUUGCAUGACUAAUUUGAUGCUUCUAUUAAUUAUGGAGCUGCCAACCCCAUCAAGCAAAAUAUUUGUUCUUUUGGUGCUGGCACCUCGAACAAGCAUAAAAAUAGAGGGAAGCAGAUAUAUUGUCGUGUAUGCACACACCCUUCUUUCAUUAGUUUAGAUGAACCAUUGAUGAUCAAUUCGGACCAGUGCAUGCAAUUAAAAUUAAUUUUACCUAAAUAGAUGGUGCAGAAUAAACUACAACAACUAGAUUUGCAACCACGGGAUGCUGACGAUAUCUUCAAAGAACAUUGCACCAGCAGCUAGGCUUCACAGCAACAUAUGGUAAGCCAUUAUGUUUUAGUACAUGUUAAAUGUAAUGCGAGUGGGCUACUUUCUUGGCUUGUGCCCUCAACGUGUAAUCCUACCGAAUUACAAAUAGUUCAGUUGUCUGCUUUGCUGUAUUACUUGAUUCGAAUGCUUGUUUGUUGUUACGUUAUACCUGAGUUGGCCAAUAUGUCAGCAGUGCCUGCUGUACUAUCUUAAAGAAAUGCAUGCCUAUUUCAUUUGAGUCCUUAACUUUUCCUCUCAACUUCAUCACAAGACUGUCUUCGUAGUUUAUAUGAGGCCACACUGUUAAGUGCUUUCUCAGAUUAUUUCAACUGCUUAGAUGCCUUGGGAACUUAAAUAUAGUAGUUGUACACUCCCUUUCAACUUUCAUCUUACCAUUUUAAUUUCUUUUCGGCUGAUGCUGCUUCGAACCAUUUAAAUAUAGUUUACCAUGCUCGGCAAUAAUUCGUACGUCGUUUACCAUGUAAGCUUACUGCCAGGAUCAUACGAUAACUAUCUCUUACUUAUGUCCAGCGGAAACCUUUCAGGAUGCCGUUUACACUAGGACACAAUGUACAACCCCAGAAUCUAUUUGUGGAAGCAGUGCACCAUCCGUGUUACCAGAUGGUAGCAGUUCAGAGGCAACACCGCCGAGAGCAGUCUGAGCACAGAUAUUAUAGUGCUUGAGGCUCUACUAGAGGCAGAAAGAGAUGGUGUGGCUGCCAUGAAUGAGGUAAUCUUUAUCUUGAGGCUGGAAAUUACGGAAUUAGCGACACGCAUUAUGCAAACAACCCAAGAAUUGGAGGAAGUAAGAAUGUUGCAUUUGAAGACGGAGGAGGUCCUGCCGUUUCUGCUAUCUGAAGCCCAAGGUAAUCCCGGUUCUUCUUUAGAUACCAGUUGAAAUUGUCAUUAGAUUAUUGUACUUGCAUGUUGUGUCAUGUCUCUGAAUGGAUUAUGUUGCAAGACCCCCUAUGUUGUUCGGAAUUCCAUGUUGUCCAUGUGUUGUAAUGAUCCGAAUUUUUUAGGUGAGGUAAUCCUUAGUACUUAUAUGAUUGACAUAAGGUGAACUAUUUUUCGUGUUAGCAUAUUGUAUUGGAUGAAAUAAUUGUUUGAAUCAGAGUGUAUCCAACCUACUGAAUUCGAAGAUCACGAUAUUUCUAAAUCAUAAUCAUAUAUAAAGGUGGAAUAAAUCUUUGUUGUGGUUUUGAAGAAAUAAAUAACAAAAAGUAUAAUUAUCUGUGGAUAUUCGUAAUCGAAUACAAACUGGAUUUGAAUUUAGUUUGUCAGGUCCCAGGGCAAACAUGAAUGCUAAUUCUCCCAAGUUUUGAACGAAGCGGCUAAACACCCACUAUAAUUUGUGGGCUGCUCGAAGCAAGUGUUUGCGAGAUGGAAAUUACUGUCUACCCCUGACACUUGACAUCCUUAUCGACCGGAUUUACACUGCUGUCGAUAGGGGUAGACUAGUAACUUCAAUCAGAUGUGACACGACGGCCUCUGAGCCCAUUCAGACACGGUGGGCGCCAAACGUGGGUGGCAAAACACAUUUGAUUCAAGCUCGUCCGAAAGACAUGUAUCGCUUCCUCCAUUUCCCCAUUCAUACACGGGGCGGCAAAACAAACUCUCCUCGUCUGAAAUUGAUGUAGGCUAAUAUUUUAAAUAGGGGCAGAUGUGUAACUUCCAUCAGACGUGACACAACCACCCUACCUGUCAACCCCGUUCAUACACCGUGGGCGCCAACUGUGGGCGGCAAAACACCCUCUCCUCGCCCGAAAUAGUUACCGGCAAAUAUUUGGGACAUGCGAGAUUACCGUCCUAUCCCCAACCGACGCGAUGUCUGGAAUUUUAAACGGGGGAUAAGUUCGUAACUUUCUCCCAUUUCAGAGAAGCGCGUCCCAAAGUUUGAGAUCGCCCCCCCCUCCCCUCCAUUUCCCCAUUCAUACACCGUCGGUGGCACGACAACCUCCGCACUACGGCCAGCCUCCUCCGUCCGCCACCCCAUCCUCCACCUUGCCGGAGCCGCUACCCCUACCCUGUCGUCCACUGCAAGAGAUGGACGUCUCUCAUCCACGGCGCUGGACCAGGAUCCUUUCAUCGCCUCCUCUCGCUUCAUUGGUGCCAUCGUCCACCUUGCCGUUGCCGCUCCUACGACCGCCUUGUCCACGGCAACAGGAUAUAUCCCUUGACCCGGCCGUCUGCCGUCUAAAGUCUUCUUCCCCGCCGCCGACAGCCAUCGCACCUGCAGCACCCUCAACGUAUCAGCAUAGGCCUACACGGCGUCGCAAGAGAGGUGGUACUCUUCCAUAUGUGCUUAAGUUAUUGAUCUCACCCGGAAAAUAGAUCGUAAUUUGUUUACUUUACUUUUCUUGUCCGUACCAAAUCGUAGUGGCUAGUUGAAAGCAAACAUUGGUUGCGAAGUAGCUUUGUCCGGUUUGCACCUUCAGAUCCGCCAUGGCACAGGCACUAUACUCGUAAAGCUUAUGGUUUCCCCCCCCCCUUUAUAUUCACUACCAUCAUCGUAGGUGCUUCGUGUCGUGCUAGCACUGCUCCUCAAGACCUCAACCCAAAGCUUAUGUGUUGAAAUACGAAUCUGAUAUGAUGCUCAUAUCACUAAAACAGAGAACGUUUAAUUGGUCACCUAAUAUUCCUAUAUUCGUUUCGAAAAGCAUGUGCUCCACCCACUGGUCCAGCUAGUUCCACUUUCCUGAUUUUUCUCUUGAUGCUUAGGGUUUUCCCCUUUUAUCUACUCUACUAUGAUCUCCGUAGGUGCUUUCUGUCGUACUAGCAUUACUCCACCUUCAAGCUAAACAACACAACACUCAGAAUUCAAAAGCUUAGUUGUUCAAAUAUGAUUGUGAUAUGAUACUGAUAUUAGUUAACCGACACAUUUUAUUGGUUAGCUAAAUGUCCCACUUGAGUUUCCAAAUGCAUGUCACGACAUAUAGAGAGACAGCAUAAUUGCAUUUCUUUGUCACUUGUUGACCAUACUUUCUUGUCCAUACCAAAUCUUAGAUGUUAUUUCAAAGCAAACAUCGGUUGCUAACUACCCUUUGCGUGGUUUGCAGCUUCAGAUCUACCAUCCCACUGCCACGGUCAACACUGUACUGAUCAUGCUUAUGUUUUCCCCAUUUUAUGAUGACCACAAUCAGCCUACGUGGUUCGUGUCGUAAUAGCACUGCUCCACCCAUCGAGCUAAACAUGCUUAGUUGUAAAAAUUCAUAUCUGAUAUUAUUGUUGAUAUUAGUAAAACUAGGAGAUGUUUAAUUGGUUAGCUAAAUGUUGCUACUUUAGUUUCGAAAUGCAUGUGAGCCACAUAUGGAGAGACCGGAAAGAAUAGUAUUUCUCUGUGCGCUGUGGUUCAUCAUGGGUGGCCAACCGACAUUGUAUUGAAACACUUGUAAUAUCUUCAAUCUGCUUGCUCUUCUGCUCUUCUUUAAGAUGAUACUCUUCUCUUGCGGUCGACUGGUCAGGUCGAGUUGUUCUCCCUUAGUAUAUUUUGAAUAUGUCAGGUCAGGUCGACUUGUUCUUCUUUACUAUAUGUUGAAGCUAUCAUCUGCGAAGUGUCAUCACUUCUGUAGAUCUCAUAUUUUGAGGAGUAGGCCACAUUAUAUUAAUGCACACAACAAAUUACAGCAUGCAUGGCAUCUUUUAAAAGAAUUGCAGAGAUAGCACAAAGGGGUUUACAGAGAGGCAGUAUUGGAUUAGAAUCACUUCUGCAUUACAAAGAAAAUCUCACUUGUUUCUAUGUUUUCAUGCAUGUCAGAUAUUGAACAUUAUCAAAAUGAAUAUGAGAAUGGGCGCACGAGAGGAAUAUUGCGGAACAAUCCACUGGCUAACAAACUUGGCAUGGUGGAGGAUGGCCUAUCUUAUUCACCCAUCAAGGUGCUUGCUCUAACUUUGCAAAGUUGUAUUGGUCGCACAUAUUUUGCAUCUGACCUCUUGCAUUUCUUCUACUUUGUUACACCAUCUGCUUAGUUUAAGCAUCAUAUAUGAGUAUAUGCCAUAACUAUCCAUUUUCUGUACCUAUUCCAUGUGUCGUCACACUAUGUUUUUCCAGUCAAAUGUUGUUCUUUCGUGAUAGAUGUCCAAAAGGAAGAGGGUGAGUGCAGAUCCUCAAGGAGUACAAACUAGGUAUUUGGAAAAGGUAGUGGUACCUGUUAAAUCAGAUAGAUCAGCAGCCACUGAAAACACAGGCCCAACUGUACCACACUUUACCCCUACUCCAGUGGCCAAACCCCUAUUAGAACUGCUGGGAGCCCAGCGUCAGGUACUGUCUAUGAUAUCAAUUCAAAAUUUGAACUCCUAAAUUUCUGCUUGUGCCUUACCUUCUCUCUUGUAUGAAAACUAAUUUCAGAUGAAUCUCCUUGCUCAAAGGAUCAUAUGAUCUCAAAACAAUAAUGGGCUCUGCAUUGCUCUUGUCAGUACCUCUCUCCCUUUUUCCUUGUAACGAUGUACUUAAUUAAUUGCUAUUUGAUUAUGUAUCAUCAGUCUGCACCUGAGCUUCAUUAUCCUCUAUUUCUUCCAAUAUUAUUUGAUCUAUAUUUACUCUUUGCAAAAUGUAGAAUAAUGGCAACACUUAUAAAGAAUUUUCUUUGGGGAAUUUAUUGAAUUAUCCUUCCAUCAACAUGGAGAAGGGCUUUGUCCAGCCCGUGUUAACAUGUAAUGUAAGUUCAUCCUUCUCAAGCCUUCAAACUUUGUUCUAGUAUAGAUUUGGAUAGGCAUCAUUGCCUCCACUGCUGUUUGCUUUGUUGUUUACAUCUGAUUGGAUGUUUGCAACAACUACCAGUUUCAACUUGUAGUUGUAAAAACAUGUUCCUUAUGUAGAACAGGUGCAUUUAUUUGCUUAUAUAAUUGUGAAACCUGUUACGUGUCUCCUUGUUUCUCUUUUAGAGUCAUGUCUCUUACGCCAGGCAGAACUUUAGGGAAGAUAGUGAGCCAAACCAUCUUGAGGACAGCGAGAUGACUCCAAGGUCCUGUCUUGAUGAAGACAGUGAGUUGAAGCUACUCACCAGCAGGUGUGAGACAACCUCUGUGCAGUCGCUGCCUCAAUCAGUUCGACUUCUUUAGUCUCAACUUAAAGCGGAAAGGCUUGCUUUAGCUCAGCUCCAACUUGAAGUCAAAUAUGCAAUGAAGAUGUCAGAGGACUGUCGUGCGCACCAUCAUGCCUUAAAUCUAGUGUUGAUGCAUAUAUCGUUGACACAACUGAGGUCUACUCAGCUUCUUCAGCUGUUUCGGGGUCCCGACUUAGCCAGGCCUAGUGCCUUCUGAAGUGCUCUCAAUUUUGUAUAUUCUUUUGUCGGUGCAUUUAUUUGCACUGGUGGCGAACUUUGAUGCCCAGUGGAUGUAAUAUGUGUGAUAGCCGUGAUAGCCUAGCGUAAGUUGCUUGCUUAUUUAUUUCCUUGUUGUCUUGUUUAUUUGUUUGCUUGUAGUCAUUGCAGUUCUUUUUCCGCGGUUUGCUAGUGGCUGCAAUAACCUAUUUUUUAAAACUAGGUCACAAUAACCAUGGGCUAAUAUUUACUGUAGUGACACUGGGCCUCCUACGGGUCAUAGAAAUAGUGGGCCUUCUAUGGGCUGUAGAAACAAUGGGCCUUCUACGGGCCGUACAAACAAUGGGCCUUCUACGGGCCGUAUCAUCAAUGGGCCUUAUACGGGCAGUAUGAUCGAUUGGCCAAAUAUGGGCCAAUAACAGGCCGCAUUAUGGCUGUAAAUGGGCUAGAGUUGGAAUCGUCCGGUCAUGCACCGACCAUAAUGGGCCAUCAUUAAUAGGCCGUAUUUCAUGACACUACGAAAACGGCCCAACGUGUUAAUGGACCACAAACAGGCCGACUGUAGCCACGGGCUGAAUUUGGCCCAUAAGCAUAAAAUGACAGUAAUGGGCCGUAAGUAAACGAAUGCUGGAAAUGAGCCCAAGAAUAAAUGGGCUCUGAGUAGGCCGAAAGAUAACAUGGGCUGGAAAUGGCCCAAUGGAAUAAUGGGCCCUUAAUGGGUAUAAAGUGAUACACUGUUCAUUACGGGCCAGUUUCACCAUGGGCCGUUAAUGGGUGUAAAGUAAUACACUGUUCAUUACGGGCCAGUUUCACCACGGGCCGUUAAUAGGCCAAGAGUUACAUAGGGCCUCAUAUGGGCUGAAAGACGUCAUGGGCCAUACAUGGGCCAUAAGUGAAAACGGGCUGGAAUCGUAUUGGGUGGCCCAGAUGACGCUACUGGGCCUAAUUUGGAUAGGGCGUAACAGGCCUGGGGUUAGCGGGCUGUAAAUGGGCUAUAUGCUAACAGGUCGUUAAUAGGCUUUACAUGGGCCGGCCCGCCACCUUUUGACCAAGUCAAAUGGGCCGGCCUUUUCACAGGAAUGGGCCUCUGUUGGGCCAUGCCACAUGUCGAUGUAUCAUAGGCGCCUUCUGUCCAAUGAGUGGAUGACAUCUGUCCCAACGGUGAGCCGACACGUGUUUCCUCCAGCCAAUGAUGAUUUUACACGUGGAAAAUCCCCAUUUGUUGGGGCUAUUAAUGGGUUAUCGGAUCCAAAACCUGACCCGAUAGCUUAACGGCGUUCCGUUACGGUGGAUGCCAUGUGUUAGUCACCUUGACGAAAGCACUUCUGUGACGCGCGAUUUAUCUUCAUGGAAGUGGACACUUCCGUGAUGAUAAUUUUGGUAAUGUCAUGCAACACUUCUACGACAGCACAGGUAUGACUAUCUUGAUUCUGUCAUAAAAUCGUCAUGGAUGUACAUGCAUGACAAAAAAUGUGACCUACUGUGACAAACACAUAUCAUCACGGAAGUGUUUUUUUUGUAGUGUGAUCUUCAUUAUUAGAGCAUUGUCCUAGUGAGGAAAGGAUGAUGAAGACUAUGAUUCCCCCACAAGUCGGGAUGAGACUUCGGACUUUAAAAAAAGAAAAAAAGA